UCCGUAGGUGAACCUGCGGAAGGAUCAUUACCGAGUGCGGGUCCUUUGGGCCCAACCUCCCAUCCGUGUCUAUUGUACCCUGUUGCUUCGGCGGGCCCGCCGCUUGUCGGCCGCCGGGGGGGCGCCUCUGCCCCCCGGGCCCAUGCCCGCCGGAGACCCCAACACGAGCCCUGUCUGAAAGCGUGCAGUCUGAGUUGAUUGAAUGCAAUCAGUUAAAACUUUCAACAAUGGAUCUCUUGGUUCCGGCAUCGAUGAAGAACGCAGCGAAAUGCGAUAACUAAUGUGAAUUGCAGAAUUCAGUGAAUCAUCGAGUCUUUGAACGCACAUUGCGCCCCCUGGUAUUCCGGGGGGCAUGCCUGUCCGAGCGUCAUUGCUGCCCUCAAGCCCGGCUUGUGUGUUGGGUCGCCGUCCCCUCUCUCCGGGGGGACGGGCCCGAAAGGCAGCGGCGGCACCGCGUCCGAUCCUCGAGCGUAUGGGGCUUUGCCACAUGCUCUGUAGGAUUGGCCGGCGCCUGCCGACGUUUUCCAACCAUUCUUUCCAGGUUGACCUCGGAUCAGGUAGGGAUACCCGCUGAACUUAAGCAUAUCAAUAAGCGGA
rnacentral:rRNA from 1 species